AAUGAUCCCAGGUAGUCCACGCCGUAAACGAUGAGUGCUAAGUGUUAGGGGGUUUCCGCCCCUUAGUGCCGCAGCAAACGCAUUAAGCACUCCGCCUGGGGAGUACGGUCGCAAGACUGAAACUCAAAGGAAUUGACGGGGGCCCGCACAAGCGGUGGAGCAUGUGGUUUAAUUCGAAGCAACGCGAAGAACCUUACCAGGUCUUGACAUCCUCUGACAACCCUAGAGAUAGGGCUUCCCCUUCGGGGGCAGAGUGACAGGUGGUGCAUGGUUGUCGUCAGCUCGUGUCGUGAGAUGUUGGGUUAAGUCCCGCAACGAGCGCAACCCUUGAUCUUAGUUGCCAGCAUUCAGUUGGGCACUCUAAGGUGACUGCCGGUGACAAACCGGAGGAAGGUGGGGAUGACGUCAAAUCAUCAUGCCCCUUAUGACCUGGGCUACACACGUGCUACAAUGGGCAGAACAAAGGGCAGCGAAGCCGCGAGGCUAAGCCAAUCCCACAAAUCUGUUCUCAGUUCGGAUCGC
rnacentral:rRNA from 1 species